UACGUAGGGGGCAAGCGUUGUCCGGAUUUAUUGGGCGUAAAGAGCGUGUAAGGCGGUUUGGUAGGUCCGCUGUGAAAACUCGAGGCUCAACCUCGAGACGCCGGUGGAAACCAUCAGACUAGAGUCCGGAAGAGGAGAGUGGAAUUCCUGGUGUAGCGGUGAAAUGCGCAGAUAUCAGGAAGAACACCCGUGGCUAAGGCGGCUCUCUAGUACGGUACUGACGCUGAGACGCGAAAGCGUGGGGAGCGAACAGG
rnacentral:rRNA from 1 species